rnacentral:misc_RNA from 2 species
AACGCACAUUGCGCCCGCCAGUAUUCUGGCGGGCAUGCCUGUCUGAGCGUCAUUUCAACCCUCAUGCCCCUAGGGCGUGGUGUUGGGGAUCGGCCAGCGCCCGCGAGGGACGGCCGGCCCCUAAAUCUAGUGGCGGACCCGUCGUGGCCUCCCCUGCGAAGUAGUGAUAUUCCGCAUAGGAGAGCGACGAGCCCCUGCCGUUAAACCCCCAACUUUCUCAGGUUGACCUCAGAUCAGGUAGGAAUACCCGCUGAACUUAA